rnacentral:tRNA from 1 species
GUGGUUGUGGCUCAGUUGUAGAGCACUCACCUAGCAUGUGUGAGGCCCUGGGUUCAAUCCUCAGCACCACA